rnacentral:rRNA from 1 species
GAUGAACGCUGGCGGCGUGCCUAAUACAUGCAAGUCGAGCGAACGGACGAGAAGCUUGCUUCUCUGAUGUUAGCGGCGGACGGGUGAGUAACACGUGGAUAACCUACCUAUAAGACUGGGAUAACUUCGGGAAACCGUAGCUAAUACCGGAUAAUAUUUUGAACCGCAUGGUUCAAAAGUGAAAGACGGUCUUGCUGUCACUUAUAGAUGGAUCCGCGCUGCAUUAGCUAGUUGGUAAGGUAACGGCUUACCAAGGCAGCGAUGCAUAGCCGACCUGAGAGGGUGAUCGGCCACACUGGAACUGAGACACGGUCCAGACUCCUACGGGAGGCAGCAGUAGGGAAUCUUCCGCAAUGGGCGAAAGCCUGACGGAGCAACGCCGCGUGAGUGAUGAAGGUCUUCGGAUCGUAAAACUCUGUUAUUAGGGAAGAACAUAUGUGUAAGUAACUGUGCACAUCCUGACGGUACCUAAUCAGAAAGCCACGGCUAACUACGUG